GGAGGCGCGAGUUUGAGCGCCGCGCGCGCGCCGCUCUCCUCUCUGCUUUUCCCCGUUCCCUGGCGGCCCGCCCCCUCGGGCUCCCGCCAACCUCAGGGGCCUCGGCCUAGGGCCCCAGCACCCGCCCCUCGGAUGGGGUCUGUGCUCGCAAAAGGGAGGGCACGCCCUGUUUCUACAUCGAGAUAGGCGGAGGCGAAGGACCGCAACGAACACAUAGGUGGCAGAUGAGUGAUCCACACAGUUGAUCCAGCUUGUUACUUUCUUUCGAGCGUGUGACAUGUUGACAGCCACACUCUAACCAAAGAAGAUCAACUUGGGACCGGAAUCGUCAGUUCACACCUCCCCUUUGCAAUGAGCUUUGAUGAACAUCAUGAUAAAAUCAGACUAUUGCUCUGAAUGUUGGCAGACAGACACCUUCCUCCUCCUGCCUGUUGAGUGCUGGGAGUGCAGCAUGCAGGCUUAAGAGCAGCUUUCUCAAUGAAAAGAUUUUAUGAAUCACUGACAAAUUUGAUCCCUAAAUAAAUUGCCG
ensembl:lncRNA